GCUUGGAGCUCAGUAGUACCUCCCUCACCCUGUCAGGCUCCCCUCCCAGUGCAGAUCCCUGGAGUCAAAGAAGAAUUUCUUCUGAAGGAAGAAGGCAAACAUGGUGCUGCCCAGGCUGCUGAAGCUGCUUAUGACAUUGAUGUGGCUGGGAUCCAGUUUUGCCCAGAAGGUGACUCAGGCCCAGCCAGCCAUGUGGGUGCAGGAGAAGGAGGCUGUGAGCCUGCUCUGCUCCUAUGACACCAGUGAGACAAGUUAUGGUCUCCUCUGGUACAAGCAGCCCAGCAGUGGUCAGAUGGUCUUCCUCAUCCUUCAGACCUCUUACAGCCAGCAAAAUGCCACAGAAGGUCGCUACUCAGUGAAUUUCCAGAAGGCAAGCAAAUCCAUCCAGCUUGUCAUCUCAGCCUCACAGCUGGGGGACUCAGCAGUGUAUUUCUGUGCACUGAGAGAGGGCACAGUGGGAGGACUGUUGGAGGGAGGUGCACAAAAACCCAGGGUCUGCCUGAGACAGCCACCUGCUGGAGGGACCAAGGCAGGGAGUGGGCACCCCAGACAGGAAGUGGCCAGGGCUGUGACAGUUUGUCUGGGGUUGGAGGGAAAACACUCUGAAGAAACCCUCUCUAGGUUCAUAGAUCACAUCAGAGUUAUCACUAAAAAACCAGCCAUAUUGUUGAAUCUUUGUAGUAAAGUUGUUUUAAUGGAGAGUUAUUGAACACAAAGAAAAUGUGUAUAAUAUCUAUAUCUUGACUUUGAGUCUGGCUUAUUUCACUUACUAUAGU